AGGUACAGAGAACAGCAAGACAGCACAUGAUAAAGUCCUCAGCACUAUAGCUGCAUACUGCAACUGGACUGAAAGGAGCAGAAGAAAACAAACAGAAUGGGGACGGCUGCCAGUAUAGCAAAGAAGAAGGCGUAUCAUGACAAAAAAAACUCACUUGCCUUGGGACUAGAAUACCUGGCACUGAAUCCAAGCACGAAAAUGGAGCAGGCUCUUGAGGAAUUCUGCAGUCAGCAGUGUGUUGUUAAACAUAAUCUAAACAGUAAUAUGCAAGCCCAAAGUCGCCACAGUGACCUUUUCCUUGUAGAAAGUGUUUUGUUGGGAG